CGGUGAAGCGGGUGCUUGCACUCGUGGAUCAGUGGCGAACGGGUGAGUAACACGUGAGUAACCUGCCCUCCACUCUGGGAUAAGCGCUGGAAACGGCGUCUAAUACUGGAUACGACCGACCCUCGCAUGGGGUGUUGGUGGAAAGAUUUAUCGGUGGUGGAUGGACUCGCGGCCUAUCGUUGGUGGGGUAAUGGCCUACCAAGGCGACGACGGGUAGCCGGCCUGAGAGGGCGACCGGCCACACUGGGACUGAGACACGGCCCAGACUCCUACGGGAGGCAGCAGUGGGGAAUAUUGCACAAUGGGCGAAAGCCUGAUGCAGCGACGCCGCGUGAGGGAUGACGGCCUUCGGGUUGUAAACCUCUUUCAGCAGGGAAGAUUGUGACGGUACCUGCAGAAGAAGCACCGGCUAACUACGUGCCAGCAGCCGCGGUAAUACGUAGGGUGCGAGCGUUGUCCGGAAUUAUUGGGCGUAAAGGUAGGCGGUUUGUCGCGUCUGCUGUGAAAGGGCUUAACCCUGGACGUGCAGUGGGUACGGGCAGACUAGAGUAUGGUAGGGGAGACUGCUGGUGUAGCGGUGGAAUGCGCAGAUAUCAGGAGGAACACCGAUGGCGAAGGCAGGUCUCUGGGCCAUUACUGACGCUGAGAAGCGAAAGCAUGGGGAGCGAACAGGAUUAGAUACCCUGGUAGUCCAUGCCGUACACGUUGGGCGCUAGGCGUGGGUCUCAUUCCACGAGAUCCGUGUCGCAGCUAACGCACUCCCCGCCUGGGGAGUACGGCCGCAAGGCUAAACUCAAAGGAAUUGACAUGGGGUUCGUACAGCAGUUGAGAUGCUGAUU
rnacentral:rRNA from 1 species